GAUGAACGCUGGCGGCGUGCCUAAUACAUGCAAGUCGAGCGAACAGAUGAGGAGCUUGCUCCUCUGACGUUAGCGGCGGACGGGUGAGUAACACGUGGAUAACCUACCUAUAAGACUGGGAUAACUUCGGGAAACCGGAGCUAAUACCGGAUAGUAUAUUGAACCGCAUGGUUCAAUAGUGAAAGACGGUUUUGCUGUCACUUAUAGAUGGAUCCGCGCCGCAUUAGCUAGUUGGUAAGGUAACGGCUUACCAAGGCGACGAUGCGUAGCCGACCUGAGAGGGUGAUCGGCCACACUGGAACUGAGACACGGUCCAGACUCCUACGGGAGGCAGCAGUAGGGAAUCUUCCGCAAUGGGCGAAAGCUUGACGGAGCAACGCCGCGUGAGUGAUGAAGGUCUUCGGAUCGUAAAACUCUGUUAUUAGGGAAGAACAAAUGUGUAAGUAACUAUGCACGUCUUGACGGUACCUAAUCAGAAAGCCACGGCUAACUACGUG
rnacentral:rRNA from 1 species